GACGAACGCUGGCGGCGUGCUUAACACAUGCGAGUCGUACGGUAAGGCCCUUUCGGGGGUACACGAGUGGCGAACGGGUGAGUAACACGUGAGUAACCUGCCCACAACUUUGGGAUAACGCUAGGAAACUGGUGCUAAUACUGGAUAUGUGCUCCUGCUGCAUGGUGGGGGUUGGAAAGCUCCGGCGGUUGUGGAUGGACUCGCGGCCUAUCAGCUUGUUGGUGGGGUAGUGGCCUACCAAGGCGGCGACGGGUAGCCGGCCUGAGAGGGUGACCGGCCACAUUGGGACUGAGAUACGGCCCAGACUCCUACGGGAGGCAGCAGUGGGGAAUAUUGCACAAUGGGCGCAAGCCUGAUGCAGCAACGCCGCGUGCGGGAUGACGGCCUUCGGGUUGUAAACCGCUUUCAGCAGGGACGAAGCUUUUUGUGACGGUACCUGCAGAAGAAGCACCGGCUAACUACGU
rnacentral:rRNA from 1 species